CCUACGGGGGGCAGCAGUAGGGAAUAUUGCGCAAUGGGCGGAAGCCUGACGCAGCGACGCCGCGUGAGCGAAGAAGGCCUUCGGGUCGUAAAGCUCUGUCCUUGGGGAAGAAGGCGAAAGCUUGACGGUACCCAAGAAGAAAGCCCCGGCUAACUACGUGCCAGCAGCCGCGGUAAUACGUAGGGGGCGAGCGUUGUCCGGAAUUACUGGGCGUAAAGGGUGCGUAGGCGGCCUUUUAAGUCAGAUGUGAAAGGCUGCGGCUUAACCGCAGGACUGCAUUUGAAACUGGAAGGCUUGAGUGUCGGAGAGGGUAGUGGAAUUCCCAGUGUAGCGGUGAAAUGCGUAGAUAUUGGGAGGAACACCAGUGGCGAAGGCGACUACCUGGACGAUAACUGACGCUGAGGCACGAAAGCUAGGGGAGCAAACAGGAUUAGAUACCCUGGUAGUCCUAGCCGUAAACGAUGGGUACUAGGUGUAGGUGGUUUCGAUACCAUCUGUGCCGCAGUUAACGCAAUAAGUACCCCGCCUGGGGAGUACGGUCGCAAGACUGAAACUCAAAGGAAUUGACGGGGGCCCGCACAAGCGGUGGAGCAUGUGGUUUAAUUCGAAGCAACGCGAAGAACCUUACCAGGUCUUGACAUCCCUGGACAGCCAUGGAAACAUGGUGUUCCUUCGGGACCAGGAGACAGGUGGUGCAUGGUUGUCGUCAGCUCGUGUCGUGAGAUGUUGGGUUAAGUCCCGCAACGAGCGCAACCCUUGCCUUUAGUUGCCAGCAUUAAGUUGGGGACUCUAAAGGGACUGCCG
rnacentral:rRNA from 1 species